UUAUUUGUUCCAACAUCGUUUAUCUGUUUGAAUAAAAAAUGAAAAAAAAGAAGAUUAUGAACACAAAUAAAGAAACUGGAUUCUGCAUGAUACAAGGAAUCCUAAGAUGUUUUGCUGCUUCAGUAAAGAAUAGAAAACUCAAAUUUAAGUGAAGAGAUAGAAAACUUGUUAGUAAAGUCAAUUAGCAUAACUCUUCAAGGCAAG
rnacentral:lncRNA from 1 species